UACGGGGGGGGCAAGCGUUGUCCGGAAUUAUUGGGCGUAAAGAGCUCGUAGGCGGUUUGUCGCGUCUGCUGUGAAAACUCGGGGCUUAACUCCGGGCCUGCAGUGGGUACGGGCAGACUAGAGUGCGGUAGGGGAGACUGGAAUUCCUGGUGUAGCGGUGAAAUGCGCAGAUAUCAGGAGGAACACCGGUGGCGAAGGCGGGUCUCUGGGCCGUAACUGGACGCUGAGGAGCGAAAGCGUGGGGAGCGAACAGG
rnacentral:rRNA from 1 species